rnacentral:rRNA from 1 species
GGAUGGUACAAAGGGCAGCAAAACCGCGAGGUCGAGCGAAUCCCAUAAAGCCAUUCUCAGUUCGGAUUGCAGGCUGCAACUCGCCUGCAUGAAGCCGGAAUUGCUAGUAAUCGCGGAUCAGCAUGCCGCGGUGAAUACGUUCCCGGGCCUUGUACACACCGCCCGUCACACCACGAGAGUUUGUAACACCCGAAGUCGGUGAGGUAACCUUUUAGGAGCCAGCCGCCGAAGGUGGGACAGAUGAUUGGGGUGAAGUCGUAACAAGGUAUCCCUACCGGAAGGUGGGGAUGGA